CCUACGGGAGGCAGCAGUGGGGAAUAUUGGACAAUGGGGGCAACCCUGAUCCAGCCAUGCCGCGUGUGUGAAGAAGGCCCUCGGGUUGUAAAGCACUUUCAGUGAGGAAGAACGCCUGGUGGUUAAUACCCAUCAGGAAAGACAUCACUCACAGAAGAAGCACCGGCUAACUCCGAGCCAGCAGCCGCGGUAAUACGGAGGGUGCGAGCGUUAAUCGGAAUUACUGGGCGUAAAGCGCGCGUAGGUGGCUUGAUAAGCCGGUUGUGAAAGCCCCGGGCUCAACCUGGGAACGGCAUCCGGAACUGUCAAGCUAGAGUGCAGGAGAGGAAGGUAGAAUUCCCGGUGUAGCGGUGAAAUGCGUAGAGAUCGGGAGGAAUACCAGUGGCGAAGGCGGCCUUCUGGACUGACACUGACACUGAGGUGCGAAAGCGUGGGUAGCAAACAGGAUUAGAUACCCCAGUAGUC
rnacentral:rRNA from 1 species